rnacentral:rRNA from 1 species
UACGUAGGGAGCGAGCGUUGUCCGGAAUUACUGGGCGUAAAGGGCGCGUAGGCGGGAACUUAAGUUAGAUGUGAAAACUCCGGGCUUAACCUGGAGACUGCAUUUAAAACUGGGUUUCUUGAGGGCAGGAGAGGUAAGUGGAAUUCCUAGUGUAGCGGUGAAAUGCGUAGAGAUUAGGAAGAACACCAGUGGCGAAGGCGACUUACUGGACUGUAACUGACGCUGAGGCAUGAGAGCAUGGGGAGCAAACAGG